AGCAGCAGUGGGGAAUAUUGCACAAUGGGGGAAACCUUGAUGCAGCCAUGCCGCGUGUGUAAGAAGGCUUCGGGUUGUAAAGCACUUUCAGUUGUGAGGAAAAGUGAGUAGUUAAUACCUGCUCACCGUGACGUUAACAACAGAAGAAGCACCGGCUAACUCCGUGCCAGCAGCCGCGGUAAUACGGAGGGUGCGAGCGUUAAUCGGAAUUACUGGGCGUAAAGCGCACGCAGGCGGUUUGUUAAGCUAGAUGUGAAAGCCCCGAGCUCAACUUGGGAUGGUCAUUUAGAACUGGCAGACUAGAGUCUUGGAGAGGGGAGUGGAAUUCCAGGUGUAGCGGUGAAAUGCGUAGAUAUCUGGAGGAACAUCAGUGGCGAAGGCGACUCCCUGGCCAAAGACUGACGCUCAUGUGCGAAAGUGUGGGUAGCGAACAGGAUUAGAUACCCUGGUAGUCCACACCGUAAACGCUGUCUACUAGCUGUUUGUGNCUUUAAGNCGUGAGUAGCGAAGCUAACGCGAUAAGUAGACCGCCUGGGGAGUACGGCCGCAAGGUUAAAACUCAAAUGAAUUGACGGGGGCCCGCACAAGCGGUGGAGCAUGUGGUUUAAUUCGAUGCAACGCGAAGAACCUUACCUACACUUGACAUGCAGAGAACUUUCUAGAGAUAGAUUGGUGCCUUCGGGAACUCUGACACAGGUGCUGCAUGGCUGUCGUCAGCUCGUGUCGUGAGAUGUG
rnacentral:rRNA from 1 species